UGUCCCGAAUCGGUGGAAAUCCAUCCACUAUCCCCUUCCGCCGCCGCCGCUUCCACAUCGGGCGCAACCGCCCCUUCCGCCGCCGCCCUUCCCCGGUGCGGCAACGCCGCCCCGCGCCACCAGGAGCCCAGGACCGGCGGGCCGAGGCCUCCCGGUACGACCGCGUCAGCGCUGUUGCGUGCUGGUCCAGCAACCCUAGCCGUCCAGGGGACGCCAUCACCGCCGCCUGGUCUCCAGCAUCCAGCUUUUCCAGCCGUCCCUCCGGUUGCCUCCCUCCUCUCCACACUCCAGACAGGACGACCGAUGGUCGCCUCCCUCCGCUCCUGACCAGGACGCUGCUGAAGAACAUACCUAGUUUCAGAGUUGGGGAUGAGGCCGAUGCAGACCUACAGUGUGGAUGAGUGACGAGGGAUGCAUGUACGUAGCGAGCCGGCGGCGGCAAAGCAGCGGCUGGAGCUGGGCGCGCGGCAGAAUCUGUGGGGGGCCAUCGUCGCAGCAGGCGGCGGCCGAGCGGACGUUUCGUUUGCUCUGCAAUUAAUUUCCAAGAAGAGUUGAUGCGGUGUCGUCUUGCCUCCUGAUUUAAUCGCUGCAGGUUCCUUUUAUUUAAGCGGAGAUUGCUCGUGUACACAUGAACAGGUGCGAGGGAUGCUGAGAAAGUCUUUGUUGCUUUUCUGUUUUAGGUGAUGUGACUUGCUAUGGCAGGAUAAUUGAUAUUAUUCAGUUGAACUAAUUUUCGGUGGAUUUAUGUGAGUGUGAAUGGGUUGAUAUUUCUGAAAACGGAAUUAAAAAGGACAAGUAUGGCUACACACUUGUUAACUUCUCACAUUUGAUGCACAAAGGAGAAAAGAUUGAUACCUAGAAGACGAACUGAACCCAGGUUGGUCAGUGGUGAUGCAGAAUAAACUACCUAGAGAUAGAUGUGACACUGGAAAUGUUGAAUGCACACGAGACAUAGAAGCUGAGCCAUUCCAUGUUUCUCACCUCACGGAUAUGUUUAAAAAGAAAAGGAAAGAUCAACAUUGGGUAAGAUUCGAUAUUGAGGGAACAAUUAUGGAUGGUAAUGAUAAUGCUUUGAUUGAUGAAGAACAGUGAUGGUACAUCAUAUAAAGAUCGUUGGUUGAGCUUACACCCUUCAGAAAAUUCGAAGUAAUGAGGUCUUUCACUCAACAUAUAAACCCAAUUUUUGUUUUUUCUUUAUUGCUUUUCGGUUUCUCGUCCUAUUUUUCAUUGAUGCUGCCAUUGUGGAUUAUGAUAACUGUUAGUACUUCAUCCUUACUGUCCUGACAUUAAGACAUUGUACAAUGGCCGGUGCUCAAAGAGUGAGAGUAGCGUGGCAUCUUAAAAUAUUUUUGCCCCGCAAUGGUGAGUGAUUCCUACAAGUGCUUAAACUACUUCAAUUAACGCAGAGCAAGGUUUACUAUGGCUUUACUGAAGGUCAAGCACCUGCUAGCAUCAGAAGCAAGACUUUGCUUCCGUCCCUCCUCUUAUGCACCUAUGCUCGGUGAUCUUGAAAAAAAAACCGUUUUUUUGUUGAAGCGUCUGCCUAAGCACCUAUAUGCAUUGAAUUUAACUUGACUCUUUUUGAUUUGUUAUGAACUUUUUCUCAGGCGCUUCAGUGAAUCUUCUUUUUCAGAAAAUUCUGCAAGUGAAGAUUACAAGGAUUGUUCUAAACUGGUGGAUUAAGCAAUGUGUUCCUUUAGUGGGCUUUUAUAUGUUUGCAUAGUUUUUGCUCUUCAAACAUGAAGCUUGGAAAAAAUCAGAAAAUUGUUACUAAAGUUAAGUUUCAUGUGUGACAGAUUUUUAUUGCAAAUAGAUACACUUUUGUCGAAGAAGUAUUAUGUCAGAUUGUUUGAAAUUAGGCGUUUUGAUUUAUGUGGGAUGCUUGUUUGCCGUCAAAACCUGAUUCGAUAUUUUCUUUGUUGUUGUGAACCAACCAUUGCACGUGUUACUUCUGUUGCUUGCACUCGCAGCUAGGUGCUAGCUAUUGUGCCUGUUGCUUACACUUGCAGCUUGUUGCUAGCCAUCUUG